rnacentral:rRNA from 1 species
CCCUGAUGCAGCCAUGCCGCGUGUGUGAAGAAGGCCUUCGGGUUGUAAAGCACUUUCAGUAGGGAGGAAGGUAGUGUAGUUAACACCUGCAUUAUUUGACGUUACCUACAGAAGAAGCACCGGCUAACUCCGUGCCAGCAGCCGCGGUAAUACGGAGGGUGCGAGCGUUAAUCGGAAUUACUGGGCGUAAAGCGCAUGCAGGCGGCCUGUUAAGUCAGAUGUGAAAGCCCGGGGCUUAACCUCGGAAUUGCAUUUGAAACUGGCAGGCUAGAGUCUUGUAGAGGGGGUAGAAUUUCAGGUGUAGCGGUGAAAUGCGUAGAGAUCUGAAGGAAUACCAGUGGCGAAGGCGGCCCCCUGGACAAAGACUGACGCUCAGAUGCGAAAGCGUGGGGAGCAAACAGGAUUAGAUACCCUGGUAG